GGUGGUGUAGCUCAGUGGAACAGUGCUUGUCUAGCAUGUAGGAAGCCCUGGGUUUGAUACCCAGCAUCUCAA
rfam:Ictidomys tridecemlineatus contig015540, whole genome shotgun sequence.